rnacentral:rRNA from 1 species
UAGUCCACGCCGUAAACGAUCAUCACUCGCUGUUGGCGAUAUACUGUCAGCGGCCAAGCGAAAGUAUUAAGUGAUGCACCUGGGGAGUACGCCGGCAACGGUGAAACUCAAAGGAAUUGACGGGGGCCCGCACAAGCGGUGGAGCAUGUGGUUUAAUUCGAUGAUACGCGAGGAACCUUACCAGGGCUUAAAUGUAGUGGGACAGGUCUAGAGAUAGACCCUUCUUCGGACUCAUUACAAGGUGCUGCAUGGUUGUCGUCAGCUCGUGCCGUGAGGUGUCAGGUUAAGUCCUAUAACGAGCGCAACCCCUAUCGUUAGUUGCCAGCGGGUCAUGCCGGGAACUCUAGCGAAACUGCCGGUGCAAACCGAGAGGAAGGUGGGGAUGACGUCAAAUCAUCACGGGCCCUUACGUCCUGGGGCCACACACGUGCUAUAAUGGCCGGGUACAGAGAGCAGCCACUACGCGAGUAGGGAGC